AUUGAACGCUGGCGGCAUGCCUUACACAUGCAAGUCGAACGGUGACAGGUCUUCGGAUGCUGACGAGUGGCGAACGGGUGAGUAAUGCAUCGGAACGUGCCCAGUAGUGGGGGAUAGCCCGGCGAAAGCCGGAUUAAUACCGCAUACGACCUGAGGGUGAAAGGGGGGGAUCGCAAGACCUCUCGCUAUUGGAGCGGCCGAUGUCAGAUUAGCUAGUUGGUGGGGUAAAGGCCUACCAAGGCAACGAUCUGUAGUUGGUCUGAGAGGACGACCAGCCCCACUGGGACUGAGACACGGCCCAGACUCCUACGGGAGGCAGCAGUGGGGAAUUUUGGACAAUGGGCGCAAGCCUGAUCCAGCAAUGCCGCGUGCAGGAAGAAGGCCUUCGGGUUGUAAACUGCUUUUGUCAGGGAAGAAAUCUUCUGGGCUAAUACCCCGGGAGGAUGACGGUACCUGAAGAAUAAGCACCGGCUAACUACGUGCCAGCCGCCGCAGUAAUAC
rnacentral:rRNA from 1 species